UGCGGAGGGUGCAAGCGUUGCUCGGAAUUAUUGGGCGUAAAGGGUAGGUAGGUGGUCUUAUUUGUCUGGGGUGAAAGCCUUGAGCUUAACUCAGGAAGUGCCCCAGAAACGGUGAGACUGGAGUCCUGGAGAGGGUCGUGGAAUUCCCGGUGUAGCGGUGAAAUGCGUAGAGAUCGGAAAGAACACCAACGGCGAAAGCACUCUGCUGGGCCGACACUGACACUGAGAGACGAAAGCUAGGGGAGCGAAUGGG
rnacentral:rRNA from 1 species